rnacentral:rRNA from 1 species
AUGACGAAAAUGAACAGAAACUACUACCUCCUCCCGGAGGAAGAUGAUCCGGUCAGAACUGUUCGGAACAAGAACUGUAUUGGGAAAGUGAUGUUUCUGACCGCUGUUGCUCGACCCAGAUAUGACGCUGAAGGCAAUAUGACAUUCUCCGGUAAAAUUGGUGUAUGGCCCUUUGUGCAAGAGAUUCCCGCUGCUAGAAGAAGCGAAUAUAGAGCAAGAGGGACCAUUGAAAUGAAGCCCGUCAAGUGA